AACUACAACUGGAAGCUGACAACAGCCAUUGGCCGAAUCUCAUCUCACACCGAGCGAAAUACGUCAGCGACGGCGACGCCAGCGUUUAUUUAUUAAAACCGAUUACAUUA
rnacentral:misc_RNA from 1 species